rnacentral:rRNA from 1 species
AGAGUUUGAUCCUGGCUCAGGACGAACGCUGGCGGCACGCUUAACACAUGCAAGUCGAACGAGAGAAGAGGAGCUUGCUUUUCUGAUCUAGUGGCGGACGGGUGAGUAACACGUGAGCAAUCUGCCUUUCAGAGGGGGAUACCGAUUGGAAACGAUCGUUAAUACCGCAUAACAUAAUUGAACCGCAUGAUUUGAUUAUCAAAGAUUUAUCGCUGAAAGAUGAGCUCGCGUCUGAUUAGCUAGUUGGUAAGGUAACGGCUUACCAAGGCGACGAUCAGUAGCCGGACUGAGAGGUUGAUCGGCCACAUUGGGACUGAGACACGGCCCAGACUCCUACGGGAGGCAGCAGUGGGGAAUAUUGCACAAUGGAGGAAACUCUGAUGCAGCGAUGCCGCGUGAGGGAAGAAGGUUUUAGGAUUGUAAACCUCUGUCUUCAGGGACGAAAAAAGACGGUACCUGAGGAGGAAGCUCCGGCUAACUACGUGCCAGCAGCCGCGGUAAUACGUAGGGAGCGAGCGUUGUCCGGAAUUACUGGGUGUAAAGGGAGCGUAGGCGGGAUCGCAAGUCAGAUGUGAAAACUAUGGGCUUAACCCAUAAACUGCAUUUGAAACUGUGGUUCUUGAGUGAAGUAGAGGUAAGCGGAAUUCCUAGUGUAGCGGUGAAAUGCGUAGAUAUUAGGAGGAACAUCAGUGGCGAAGGCGGCUUACUGGGCUUUAACUGACGCUGAGGCUCGAAAGCGUGGGGAGCAAACAGGAUUAGAUACCCUGGCAGUCCACGCCGUAAACGAUGAUUACUAGGUGUGGGGGGACUGACCCCUUCCGUGCCGCAGCAAACGCAAUAAGUAAUCCACCUGGGGAGUACGACCGCAAGGUUGAAACUCAAAGGAAUUGACGGGGGCCCGCACAAGCAGUGGAGUAUGUGGAUUAAUUCGAAGCAACGCGAAGAACCUUACCAGGUCUUGACAUCGUAUGCAUAGCUCAGAGAUGAGUGAAAUCUCUUCGGAGACAUAUAGACAGGUGGUGCAUGGUUGUCGUCAGCUCGUGUCGUGAGAUGUUGGGUUAAGUCCCGCAACGAGCGCAACCCUUACUGUUAGUUGCUACGCAAGAGCACUCUAGCAGGACUGCCGUUGACAAAACGGAGGAAGGUGGGGAUGACGUCAAAUCAUCAUGCCCCUUAUGACCUGGGCCUCACACGUACUACAAUGGCUGUCAACAGAGGGAAGCAAAGCCGCGAGGUGGAGCGAACCCCUAAAAGCAGUCUUAGUUCGGAUUGUAGGCUGCAACCCGCCUACAUGAAGUCGGAAUUGCUAGUAAUCGCAGAUCAGCAUGCUGCGGUGAAUACGUUCCCGGGCCUUGUACACACCGCCCGUCACGCCAUGGGAGUCGGUAACACCCGAAGCCUGUAGUCCAACCGCAAGGAGGACGCAGUCGAAGGUGGGAUUGAUGACUGGGGUGAAGUCGUAACAAGGUA